CCUACGGGUGGCUGCAGUGGGGAAUAUUGGACAAUGGGCGAAAGCCUGAUCCAGCCAUGCCGCGUGUGUGAAGAAGGCCUUCGGGUUGUAAAGCACUUUCAGUGGGGAAGAAAGCCUUGGGGCUAAUACCCUCGAGGAAGGACAUCACCCACAGAAGAAGCACCGGCUAACUCCGUGCCAGCAGCCGCGGUAAUACGGAGGGUGCGAGCGUUAAUCGGAAUUACUGGGCGUAAAGCGCGCGUAGGCGGUCUGAUAAGCCGGUUGUGAAAGCCCCGGGCUCAACCUGGGAACGGCAUCCGGAACUGUCAGGCUAGAGUGCAGGAGAGGAAGGUAGAAUUCCCGGUGUAGCGGUGAAAUGCGUAGAGAUCGGGAGGAAUACCAGUGGCGAAGGCGGACUUCUGGACUGACACUGACGCUGAGGUGCGAAAGCGUGGGUAGCAAACGGGAUUAGAUACCCGAGUAGUC
rnacentral:rRNA from 1 species